rnacentral:tRNA from 1 species
UCCGCCAUGGUGUAAUGGCAGCACCACAGCCUUUGGAGCUGUUUGUCUAGGUUCGAAUCCUGGUGGCGGAG